ACGCUCGACACCUACGGGGGGCAGCAGUGGGGAAUAUUGCACAAUGGGGGAAACCCUGAUGCAGCGACGCCGCGUGAGCGAAGAAGUAUUUCGGUAUGUAAAGCUCUAUCAGCAGGGAAGAAACUGACGGUACCUGACUAAGAAGCACCGGCUAAAUACGUGCCAGCAGCCGCGGUAAUCUGAGGCGGGCUGGCAAGGC
rnacentral:rRNA from 1 species